rnacentral:rRNA from 1 species
GACGAACGCUGGCGGCGUGCUUAACACAUGCAAGUCGAACGGAAAGGCCCUGCUUUUGUGGGGUGCUCGAGUGGCGAACGGGUGAGUAACACGUGAGUAACCUGCCCUUGACUUUGGGAUAACUUCAGGAAACUGGGGCUAAUACCGGAUAGGAGCUCCUGCUGCAUGGUGGGGGUUGGAAAGUUUCGGCGGUUGGGGAUGGACUCGCGGCUUAUCAGCUUGUUGGUGGGGUAGUGGCUUACCAAGGCUUUGACGGGUAGCCGGCCUGAGAGGGUGACCGGCCACAUUGGGACUGAGAUACGGCCCGGACUCCUACGGGAGGCAGCAGUGGGGAAUAUUGAACAAUGGGCGGCAGCCUGAUGCAGAAACGCCGCGUGCGGGAUGACGGCCUUCGGGUUGUAAACCGCUUUCGCCUGUGACGAAGCGUGAGUGACGGUAAUGGGUAAAGAAGCACCGGCUAACUACGUG